UACGGGGGGGCAAGCGUUGUUCGGAAUCACUGGGCGUAAAGCGCACGUAGGCGGAUUGCUAAGUCAGGGGUGAAAUCCUGGAGCUCAACUCCAGAACUGCUUUGAUACUGGCGACCUGAGUCGGGAGAGGUGAGUGGAACUGCGAGUGUAGAGGUGAAAUUCGUAGAUAUUCGCAAGAACACCAGUGGCGAAGGCGGACUCACUGGCCCGGUACUGACGCUGAGGUGCGAAAGCGUGGGAGCAACAGGGAUUAAGAUACCUU
rnacentral:rRNA from 1 species